UACGAAGGGUGCAAGCGGUUACUCGGAAUUACUGGGCGUAAAGCGUGCGUAGGUGGUGCGUUAAGUCUGUCGUGAAAGCCCGGCUCAACCUGGGAAUGGCGAUGGAUACUGGCGCGCUAGAGUGCGGUAGAGGAGAGUGGAAUUCCCGGUGUAGCAGUGAAAUGCGUAGAGAUCGGGAGGAACAUCAGUUGCGAAGGCGGCUCUCUGGACCAGCACUGACACUGAGGCACGAAAGCGUGGGGAGCAAACAGG
rnacentral:rRNA from 1 species